CAGCCGCCACGGUAAUACAGAGGGUGCGAGCGUUAAUCGGAUUUACUGGGCGUAAAGCGUGCGUAGGCGGCUAAUUGAGUCGGAUGUGAAAUCCCCGAGCUUAACUUGGGAAUUGCAUUCGAUACUGGUUAGCUAGAGUGUGGGAGAGGAUGGUAGAAUUCCAGGUGUAGCGGUGAAAUGCGUAGAGAUCUGGAGGAAUACCGAUGGCGAAGGCAGCCAUCUGGCCUAACACUGACGCUGAGGUACGAAAGCAUGGGGAGCAAACAGGAUUAGAUACCCGCGUAGUCCCUGUCUCUUAUAU
rnacentral:rRNA from 1 species